AUAUAUAUAUAUAUAUAUUGGAAAUUUUUGGAGUUGGCGAUGCAAAGCUGGACCCUAGGAAUGAAGACUUGUAACUGGUCGAAGUCUUACAAAAAAUUAAUAUAUCGUGAGCCCCAAGAGUGCAAGAGAGCGGAUUUCAAUGUAUAAUAAUGAUCCUUAAUGAUUUUUCCCUUGUUCUCUCUCUUUUCCCGCGGAAACAGGUGCAUAACACAUACGCAAUACUAGUUAAUUUUCAUUAGAAGCUUUCUUAACAGGUUAAUCCUUUACAAGCUAAAGCCAGGGCUCUUUCAGCCACACUAUGAAGAUGCUAUGACGAAACAUUAAUCCACUGAUGCAGUUAUUUUAAUUGAAGUUUAUUUCUCUAUCGUGUUUAGUUCUGUUUCAUGUGUUAGUCAAAAUAUCUAAGUCAUUAAGCAUAGUGUUUAAUUCUGUUUGGAGUCUUUUAAGUAUCAGUUGAAAAUAUCUAGUAUGGUGCUAAUGAGUUUUUCUUGAAGAAAUAGUUAGUCAAAAAUAUCUGAUGUGGUAUUACCGAGUCUUCUUUGGAAAUAAGAGUCAAUCAAAGUCUUUAAUCUUUCAAAUUUGAGUCAUUUAACGAGUCUUCUGUCAAAAGUUAAGUUAAGUUCCGGUCUAUAAAUAUGAGUCUUUUGUGUGCAAUUGGCAGAAUACCAGUAAUACAAUCAGUUCCUUUUUCCUGAAGAAUUUUCGCUUCUAUUUGGAUUAGUCUUUAUUUCCAGGACUGUCCAAGGUGGUGGACUCCUUCCACAUCUAAUUUUCUCAUCCUUACUCUAUUCCUCCCUUAAUUCUUUGUUAUCAGUUCCUUUAUGUGAAUUAUUCUUCCUGGAUUGUAUCAUCUUUGGUACCAGCGCAGGACUAGUUGAAUUAUUCACCCAUCAAUCUUCUAAUCUUGUCAACUUGAAGUGGAAGAGAUUAUCAAGGAAAGCUUACAGAUCGUCAGGAGAUGAUUUGCUGUUAAAAAUAGUUCAGCCACUUGAUGAUGUUAACAAUCAACUUGCUAAUCUGGAAGCUUGGAGAACUAGAAGUAAAGGUAACGAACUCAUAGUUUCUAACAAUAAGAAGGGGCCUCCACUGUUCCACAAGAACCUGAGGCAGAUAUUCCAGAGGAAGAAAGUAGUAUUGCAGGCGAGGCCAGAAAACAUGCUCCAUGUUCAGCCUUGGAAAUAGUACGAGAGCAAUUAUAACCAGCUAAUGCAAGAGCCACCAUGCAGAAUGCUUACGGGCAGAUGAUUAAUGGGGCUGAUGAUCUGCAUACUGAAUAUAGACAUCACUAAGCGAAUAAAGAUAGAUAUUCCAGAUUUCAGUGGAAAGCUUGAUCCACAUGCUUUUUCUGAUUAGUUGAUAGCAUGCUGCGUAUCUUGAUGGCUCCAAAAGGAAGUGAAGAGGAAUGCUGGCUGCGUACUAAUAUUUUUCAUACCAAUGCGCAGUGUGGCAAUCAGAUUGUGAGGCUAGUUAUUGAUGGAGGUAGUCAAAAUGAAUGUUGUUUCCCAAGAGCUUGUUGAUAAGCUUAAAUUGGAGAUGGACCAUUUGAAUUCAUAGAUCAAAAUUGCAUGGAUCAAUAAUAUUUUAAUUCCUACUCACUAAGGAAUGUUCAGUAACUUUCUCAACAGGUGACUGUUAUGUUGACUCCAUGCGGUGACUCUUAUGAAGCAUAUUUUGUUUGAAUUUCAGAUCUAGCUCCAGAGGAGCUACCUAAAGGGCUGGUUCUAUUACGAGCUAACAGCAUGCAAAUGAUUUUGUACCAAGAGCUAGUUUGCCAAAUCUGUCAGCCUGCAGAAUGAACCCUGCUGAAGAUGAAGAGAUGAGAAAACAAGUAAAUGAUUUGCUCUCCAAGGGGUAUAUUCACAGUCCCUGUGCUGUACCAGCGUUAUAGACUCCUACGAAACAUGAGAGCUGGACGAUGUGCGCAGACACCUGAGCUCUCUAAGGUUGUUUCACAUAACGGCAGGAGCUAAGCCGCAGCAGGGAAGAGCAUUUGAGCCAUCCUAGACAAGUUAAGACGGCACUGAGGGUUGAAAAGUUCUAUAUUAAUCUUAAGAAGUACACAUUCUUAUCAGAUCAUGUAGCAUUGAAGCAGAUCCAGAAAAAAAACAGAUCUAUUCUUGACUGGCCUACUUCCAAACAGAAUUAAAGAAGUUCGAAGCUUCCAAGGGCUGGCCUCAUUUUACAAACGUUUCACCAGAAAUUUAUGCUCUAUAAUGGCGCCUAUUACAGAUUGCUUAUGACAGGGGACUUUUCUUUCUACAAAGGCAGUUGAUGAGGCUUUUCAGGAAAUUAAGAUCAGAAAUUUUGAAUUGGCAAGCAAUGCAUCUCAUACAGGCAUUGGGUUGGUUAUUAGCCAAGAGGGGCAUCCUAUUGCCUGUUUCAGCCAGAAACUCAACGAAGCAAAGAAGAGGUAUUGCACUUAUGACUUUAAGUUUUAUGCAGUGGUCCAAGCCAUGAAAUACUGGAAAUAUUGUCUGUCCCACAAAGAGUUUGUGCUUUACUCAGUUAAUGAAGCAUUAAGGUUCUCAAAAGGCUUGGACCAAAUGCCUAUUUACUUGAGCUACCUGAGGAUCAGCCCAAUAUUUAAUGUAGAAGAUCUCAGUUUCUGUCAUGAAAAUCAAGAUAAUACAAAUGAAACGGAGCCUGCCAUUAGACUAUCUUAUGUUCCAAAGAAUGUAGACAAAAAUGAGGAUAUUCUUGACGAGCAAAUUGUUUCUACGGGAAGGGGCAGUUAUAAAAUGUUUCUAGUCAAAUGGAAGGGAAAAUCAAUUUCAGAAAGCACUUGGAUUACCGUGUCAGAUUUAAUUGAUUCGGUUAUUUUAAUUGAAGGUUAUCUCUAUAGUGUUUAGUUCUGUUUUAUGUGUUAGUCAAAAUAUCUAAAUCAUCAAGUAUAGUGUUUGAUUCUAUUUUGAGUCUUUCAAAUGUCAGUUAAAAAUAUCUAGUCUGGUGUUAAGGAGUUUUCCUUGAAGAAAUAGCGAGUCAAAAUUUUCUGGUGUGGUAUUAAUAAGUCUUCUUUGGAAAUAAGAGUCAGUCAACAAAUCUAGUCUUUGAACAUUGGGUCAUUUAAUGAGUCUUCAAUCAAAAAUUUAGUUUUCCAGGAUUAGUAUUUACUAAGUUUACAAGUUCUGGUCUAUAAAUAUAAGUCUUUUGUAUGUAAUUGGCAGAAUACCAGUAAUACAAUCAUUUCCUUUUUUCUGAAGAA